ACGUCUUUUCUCACGAGGUUUGUGAUCUUGACGUUGUCUGCGUUGUUCUUCGCAGUGGCCAGGUCACAGUCACCUCCUCUGGAGAUCUGAAGUUGCAGGGUUCAAAUCCUCAAGUGACCGAGCCAGAUUUGCUGACAAUGGGGGUGUUCAGAUCAUAACGAGCAUCAAACAAAUCAAAUAAUUAACUGACCUGAGAGACACAAGACACCCAGUAAGAUCCUCUCCAUCAUCGUGCUGCUCUGAGGUCUGUGUGUGCGUUGAUUUAAAC